rnacentral:misc_RNA from 1 species
GGUGAAGAACGUAGCGAAAUGCGAUAAGUAAUGUGAAUUGCAGAAUUCAGUGAAUCAUCGAAUCUUUGAACGCACAUUGCGCCCUCUGGUAUUCCGGAGGGCAUGCCUGUUCGAGCGUCAUUAUAACCACUCAAGCUCUCGCUUGGUAUUGGGGUUCGCGGUUCCGCGGCCCCUAAAAUCAGUGGCGGUGCCUGUCGGCUCUACGCGUAGUAAUACUCCUCGCGAUUGAGUCCGGUAGGUCUACUUGCCAGCAACCCCCAAUUUUUACAGGUUGACCUCGGAUCAGGUAGGGAUACCCGCUGAACUUAAGCAUAUCAAUAAGCGGAGGA